GUGACGUUCGUUGCCUACUGACUAGCUUAAGACAAUAGAACUUGCAGCCAUGGAGCGAAACCAUCACUUCUUUCUUCUAUUUGUUUGCCUUACACUUUUAUCUGGAUAUUUUGUAAUACCAGUCCUGUCAGCGCCGUGCUAUAAUAUUCCAUUACAUGUAAUCUGCAACAAUCCGUCACUCCGUGCGAGAUGUCCGGCUAACUGUCCGAAAAAAGAUUGAUUCCAGUUCCAGACGUGUCAACUGUCAUUAAUAAUGUAAUAUUGAUACUUCAAUAAAAUAAUUUUCAGAGAAAA